rnacentral:siRNA from 1 species
UACGUGAACUUCGUAUGUGGCCA